rnacentral:misc_RNA from 1 species
GUUGCCCCUUUCCGCCCGAUGCCCUUUUUGGGUGUGGGGUGGACGCCAGGCACGCUACGUGUUCCUCGCAUGCCUUGCCUUGUUGCGGGGCUGCUGAGGCCCAUGGAGCUGUUGCCCGUGCUCUCGGAUGCGGAAUGUCAUGCAUGGGUGCGGGGUCUCGGCCUUUGCUUGCCCAAGCUAUGCAUUUGUCUCUUGACACGAACGACUGCCGCGGGCGGCUUGAACCCG